UACGAAGGGGGCUAGCGUUGUUCUGAAUUACUGGGCGUAAAGCGCACGUAGGCGGACUACUAAGUCAGGGGUGAAAUCCCGGGGCUCAACCCCGGAACUGCCUUUGAUACUGAUAGUCUCGAGUCCGGAAGAGGUGAGUGGAAUUCCGAGUGUAGAGGUGAAAUUCGUAGAUAUUCGGAGGAACACCAGUGGCGAAGGCGGCUCACUGGUCCGGUACUGACGCUGAGGUGCGAAAGCGUGGGGAGCAAACAGG
rnacentral:rRNA from 1 species